AAGUUACCGAACGGAACCCGUACUAUUGGUAAACCUAAGUGAUAUAUGGGUUAGGUGGUCGGACGGGGUGAGUAACGACGUCGGGCGAACCUGCCUUACACAGGGGGAUAACAACUUAGAAAUAGGUAGCUAAAACCGACAUAAGCGCACAGCUUCGCAUGAAGCGGUGUGAAAAACUCCGGUGGUGUAAGAUGGACCCGCGUCUGAUUAGCUUGUUGGCGGGGUAACGGCCCACCAAGGCGACGAUCAGUAGCCGGCCUGAGAGGACGGACGGCCACAUUGGGACUGAGACACGGCCCAGACUCCUACGGGAGGCAGCAGUGGGGAAUAUUGCACAAUGGGGGAAACCCUGAUGCAGCGACGCCGCGUGAGUGAAGAAGUAAUUCGUUACGUAAAGCUCUAUCAGCAGGGAAGAAAAUGACGGUACCUGAGUAAGAAGCCCCGGCUAACUACGUG
rnacentral:rRNA from 1 species